GACGUGAACCGCGAGGUGGCCAUCAACACGGAGCAGCUGCAGAGCGGCAAGACGGAGAUCACGGAGCUGCGCCGCACCAUCCAGAGCCUGGAGAUCGACCUGCAGUCCCAGCUCAGCACGAAAGCGGCGCUGGAGGGCACCCUGGCCGACACCGAGGCGCGCUACGGCACCCAGCUGGCCCAGCUGCAGGCGCUGAUCACCAGCGUGGAGGAGCAGCUGGCCGAGCUGCGCUGCGACAUGGAGCGCCAGAACCACGAGUACCGGGUGCUGCUGGACGUCAAGUGCCGCCUGGAGCAGGAGAUCGCCACGUACCGCCGGCUGCUGGAGGGCGAGGACGCCCACAUCUCUUCCCAGUACUCCUCUGCGAUGUCCUCACACUCUGGCAGAGAUGCCAUUACGUCCUCGCGCCAGGUGCGCACCAUCGUGGAGGAGGUGCAGGACGGGAAGGUGGUCUCAUCCCGGGAGCAGGUGGCACUGACCACACGCUAGUGGGACCCGCAGCAGCCCCAGGCUCUGCCCGACGGAGCUGCCGACACAGCUGGCUUCGCCCCUCUGCUUCUCCCCCAGCGACCCUUAACCACGUGCAGCUGCCAUGGUGCACUCUGUACACAUUUAAUAAAGCUUUGUUUUUCAUUCAUGCAACUGCAGACUUGUCCGUCACUGACACAGGAGCUCUCAAAGCCGAGGGGCUGGGCACUCAUGGCAGGGAAGUUCCAGAAAUCCACAGCUGGGAGCGUGGGAGGAGAUGUGCGUGCCUGGAGCAGCAGGAGUCCGGGCAGCUUGUUUGUGGAACUCAGUGCUGAUGGGUGCAGGAACUGAGAUGUGACCUGGUCAUGUUGAUGUGAGAAAAAGGCAAUGUUUUUAGACAAAGUGCCAAAUGAGAACGGACUGAAGCCAGCAAACACAAAGCUGUGCUCUCUGACGCUCAGUAUCAGGAGGAGCUGCUCCCUCCCGCAGGCGGAACCCCAGAGAGCUCAGCAGGACCGUGGCUGCCACGUGCACUGCACACAGACACGAGCACAGCAUCAGCUGGCAAACCUCAUCCAAAUGUUCCUCCCACCUCAUUUGACUGCCUUAAGAUCACACUGUUAGGCACACAGCACCAAGACUUUACACAGCUAUAUUAAUGUUGCCGACGGCUGCAUUUAAUACCUCUAUAGUAACCACUGCUUAAUCUGCAGGGGCUGAGCAGCCGUAACUCGGUAUAUAAUAAUUCUGACACCCAGCAGAUCCCUGCUAAAUCCGUCCUGCAGCAUUCCAGCACUGGGGCUGACGCAGGGUGGGAGGGCUCCUGCCUGCACAUCCUGGAGCUG
rnacentral:lncRNA from 1 species